rnacentral:rRNA from 1 species
UGGGGAAUAUUGCACAAUGGGCGCAAGCCUGAUGCAGCCAUGCCGCGUGUGUGAAGAAGGCCUUCGGGUUGUAAAGCACUUUCAGCGAGGAGGAAGGUGGUGAGCUUAAUACGCUCAUCAAUUGACGUUACUCGCAGAAGAAGCACCGGCUAACUCCGUGCCAGCAGCCGCGGUAAUACGGAGGGUGCAAGCGUUAAUCGGAAUUACUGGGCGUAAAGCGCACGCAGGCGGUUUGUUAAGUCAGAUGUGAAAUCCCCGGGCUCAACCUGGGAACUGCAUUUGAAACUGGCAAGCUAGAGUCUCGUAGAGGGGGGUAGAAUUCCAGGUGUAGCGGUGAAAUGCGUAGAGAUCUGGAGGAAUACCGGUGGCGAAGGCGGCCCCCUGGACGAAGACUGACGCUCAGGUGCGAAAAGCGUGGGGAGCAAACAGAUUAGAUACCCUGGUAGUCCACGCUGUAAACGAUGUCGAUUUUGGAGGUUGUG